rnacentral:rRNA from 1 species
UACGGGGGGGGCAAGCGUUGUUCGGAAUUACUGGGCGUAAAGGGCUUGUAGGUGGCCAACUAAGUCACACGUGAAAUCCCCAGGCUUAACCUGGGAACUGCGUGUGAUACUGGAUGGCUUGAAUCCGGGAGAGGGAUGCGGAAUUCCAGGUGUAGCGGUGAAAUGCGUAGAUAUCUGGAGGAACACCGGUGGCGAAGGCGGCAUCCUGGACCGGUAUUGACACUGAAAAGCGAAAGCCAGGGGAGCAAACGGG